UACGUAGGGGGCAAGCGUUGUCCGGAAUCAUUGGGCGUAAAGAGCGCGUAGGCGGCCCGGUAAGUCCGCUGUGAAAGUCAAGGGCUCAACCCUUGAAUGCCGGUGGAUACUGUCGGGCUAGAGUACGGAAGAGGCGAGUGGAAUUCCUGGUGUAGCGGUGAAAUGCGCAGAUAUCAGGAGGAACACCGAUUGCGAGGGCAGCUCGCUGGGACGUCACUGACGCUGAGACGCGAAAGCGUGGGGAGCGAACAGG
rnacentral:rRNA from 1 species